rnacentral:rRNA from 1 species
GAGGAAUUUUGCGCAAUGGGGGAAACCCUGACGCAGCAACGCCGCGUGAGUGAUGAAGGCUUUCGGGUCGUAAAGCUCUGUCAAGUGGGAAGAAACCAUAUGGUGUUAAUAUCGCCAUAUGCUGACGGUACCA